rnacentral:rRNA from 1 species
GGGUUGUGAGGUUAAGCGACUAAGCGUACACGGUGGAUGCCCUGGCAGUCAGAGGCGAUGAAGGACGUGCUAAUCUGCGAAAAGCGCCGGCGAGGUGAUAUGAACCCUUGACCCGGCGAUGUCCGAAUGGGGAAACCCAGUGCAAUCCGUUGCACUAUCGUUAACUGAAUACAUAGGUUAACGAGGCGAACCGGGGGAACUGAAACAUCUAAGUACCCCGAGGAAAAGAAAUCAACCGAGAUUCCCCCAGUAGCGGCGAGCGAACGGGGAGCAGCCCGGAGUCUGAAUCAGCUUGUGUGUUAGUGGAACGGUCUGGAAAGUCCGACGGUACAGGGUGAUAGUCCCGUACACGAAAGCACACAUGCUGUGAACUCGAAGAGUAGGGCGGGACACGUGGUAUCCUGUCUGAAUAUGGGGGGACCAUCCUCCAAGGCUAAAUACUCCUGACUGACCGAUAGUGAACCAGUACCGUGAGGGAAAGGCGAAAAGAACCCCGGCGAGGGGAGUGAAAAAGAACCUGAAACCGUGUACGUACAAGCAGUGGGAGCCUCUUUAUGGGGUGACUGCGUACCUUUUGUAUAAUGGGUCAGCGACUUAUAUUCUGUAGCAAGGUUAACCGUAUAGGGGAGCCGAAGGGAAACCGAGUCUUAACUGGGCGUUAAGUUGCAGGGUAUAGACCCGAAACCCGGUGAUCUAGCCAUGGGCAGGUUGAAGGUUGGGUAACACUAACUGGAGGACCGAACCGACUAAUGUUGAAAAAUUAGCGGAUGACCUGUGGCUGGGGGUGAAAGGCCAAUCAAACCGGGAGAUAGCUGGUUCUCCCCGAAAGCUAUUUAGGUAGCGCCUCGUGAACUCAUCUUCGGGGGUAGAGCACUGUUUCGGCUAGGGGGCCAUCCCGGCUUACCAACCCGAUGCAAACUACGAAUACCGAAGAAUGUUAUCACGGGAGACACACGGCGGGUGCUAACGUCCGUCGUGAAGAGGGAAACAACCCAGACCGCCAGCUAAGGUCCCAAAGUCAUGGUUAAGUGGGAAACGAUGUGGGAAGGCACAGACAGCCAGGAUGUUGGCUUAGAAGCAGCCAUCAUUUAAAGAAAGCGUAAUAGCUCACUGGUCGAGUCGGCCUGCGCGGAAGAUGUAACGGGGCUAAACCAUGCACCGAAGCUGCGGCAGCGACGCUUAUGCGUUGUUGGGUAGGGGAGCGUUCUGUAAGCCGUUGAAGGUGUGCUGUGAGGCAUGCUGGAGGUAUCAGAAGUGCGAAUGCUGACAUAAGUAACGAUAAAGCGGGUGAAAAGCCCGCUCGCCGGAAGACCAAGGGUUCCUGUCCAACGUUAAUCGGGGCAGGGUGAGUCGACCCCUAAGGCGAGGCCGAAAGGCGUAGUCGAUGGGAAACAGGUUAAUAUUCCUGUACUUGGUGUUACUGCGAAGGGGGGACGGAGAAGGCUAUGUCAGCCGGGCGACGGUUGUCCCGGUUUAAGCAUGUAGGCGGAGGUUCCAGGUAAAUCCGGUACCUUAUUAACGCUGAGGUGUGAUGACGAGGCACUACGGUGCUGAAGUGAUAAAUGCCCUGCUUCCAGGAAAAGCCUCUAAGCAUCAGGUAACACGAAAUCGUACCCCAAACCGACACAGGUGGUCAGGUAGAGAAUACCAAGGCGCUUGAGAGAACUCGGGUGAAGGAACUAGGCAAAAUGGUGCCGUAACUUCGGGAGAAGGCACGCUGAUGUGUAGGUGAAGCCCCUGCGGGUGGAGCUGAAAUCAGUCGAAGAUACCAGCUGGCUGCAACUGUUUAUUAAAAACACAGCACUGUGCAAACACGAAAGUGGACGUAUACGGUGUGACGCCUGCCCGGUGCCGGAAGGUUAAUUGAUGGGGUUAGCGGCAACGCGAAGCUCUUGAUCGAAGCCCCGGUAAACGGCGGCCGUAACUAUAACGGUCCUAAGGUAGCGAAAUUCCUUGUCGGGUAAGUUCCGACCUGCACGAAUGGCGUAAUGAUGGCCAGGCUGUCUCCACCCGAGACUCAGUGAAAUUGAACUCGCUGUGAAGAUGCAGUGUACCCGCGGCAAGACGGAAAGACCCCGUGAACCUUUACUAUAGCUUGACACUGAACACUGGUCCUUGAUGUGUAGGAUAGGUGGGAGGCUUUGAAGCGUGGACGCCAGUCUGCGUGGAGCCNNNNNNNNNNNNNNNNNNNNNNNNNNNNNNCCGGGUUGCGGACAGUGUCUGGUGGGUAGUUUGACUGGGGCGGUCUCCUCCCAAAGAGUAACGGAGGAGCACGAAGGUUGGCUAAUCCUGGUCGGACAUCAGGAGGUUAGUGCAAUGGCAUAAGCCAGCUUGACUGCGAGCGUGACGGCGCGAGCAGGUGCGAAAGCAGGUCAUAGUGAUCCGGUGGUUCUGAAUGGAAGGGCCAUCGCUCAACGGAUAAAAGGUACUCCGGGGAUAACAGGCUGAUACCGCCCAAGAGUUCAUAUCGACGGCGGUGUUUGGCACCUCGAUGUCGGCUCAUCACAUCCUGGGGCUGAAGUAGGUCCCAAGGGUAUGGCUGUUCGCCAUUUAAAGUGGUACGCGAGCUGGGUUUAGAACGUCGUGAGACAGUUCGGUCCCUAUCUGCCGUGGGCGCUGGAGAAUUGAGGGGGGCUGCUCCUAGUACGAGAGGACCGGAGUGGACGCAUCACUGGUGUUCGGGUUGUCAUGCCAAUGGCACUGCCCGGUAGCUAAAUGCGGAAGAGAUAAGUGCUGAAAGCAUCUAAGCACGAAACUUGCCCCGAGAUGAGUUCUCCCUGAGAC